GCACAGCCGUAAACAUAGAUGUAUAAUUCACCACUACAUCCGCCCGGGAACUACAAGCACCAGCUUGAAACCCAAAGGACUUGGCGGUGCUUUAGACCCCCCUAGAGGAGCCUGUUCUACAACUGAUAACCCCCGUUAAACCUCACCCCUUCUUGUUGUAUCCGCCUAUAUACCGCCGUCGUCAGCUUACCCUGUGAAGGUCCCAUAGUAAGCAAAAGUAGUACAACCCAAAACGUCAGGUCGAGGUGUAGUAUAUGAGGGGGGAAGAAAUGGGCUACAUUCACCAAGUGGUGUACACGAAUGGUUUAAUGAAACACAAACCUGAAGGAGGAUUUAGCAGUAAGAGGGAAACAG
rnacentral:rRNA from 1 species